rnacentral:rRNA from 2 species
UACGGAGGGUGCGAGCGUUGUCCGGAAUCACUGGGCGUAAAGGGCGCGUAGGCGGCGCGGGUAGUCAACGGUGAAAGCUUGGGGCUCAACCCCGAGUCGGCCGUCGAUACUCCCGCGCUCGAGCACUGUAGAGGCAGGUGGAAUUCCGGGUGUAGCGGUGGAAUGCGUAGAGAUCCGGAAGAACACCGGUGGCGAAGGCGGCCUGCUGGGCAGUAGCUGACGCUGAGGCGCGACAGCGUGGGGAGCAAACAGG